rnacentral:rRNA from 1 species
UCCGGAAUCAUUGGGCGUAAAGCGCGUGUAGGCGGCUCGAUAAGUCCGCUCUGAAAGUCCAGGGCUCAACCCUGGGAUGCGGGUGGAUACUGUCGGGCUCGAGUCCGGAAGAGGCGAGUGGAAUUCCUGGUGUAGCGGUGAAAUGCGCAGAUAUCAGGAGGAACACCAAUGGCGAAGGCAGCUCGCUGGGACGUGACUGACGCUGAGACGCGAAAGCGUGGGGAGCAAACAGG